rnacentral:snoRNA from 1 species
AAGCACAGUGAUGGUUCCAUCUUUCGGGUCUGACAGUUAGUUGAUGAUAAUAACGAACUGAGUGCUU